rnacentral:rRNA from 1 species
UACAGAGGGGGCAAGCGUUAUUCGGAAUUAUUGGGCGUAAAGGGCGCGUAGGCGGCUUGGCAAGUGGAAGGUGAAAUCCCUCGGCUUAACCGAGGAACUGCCCUCCAAACUGCUUCGCUUGAGACCGGGAGAGGUGAGUGGAAUUCCCAGUGUAGCGGUGAAAUGCGUAGAUAUUGGGAGGAACACCAGUGGCGAAGGCGGCUCACUGGACCGGUACUGACGCUGAUGCGCGAAAGCGUGGAGAGCAAACGGG